rnacentral:tRNA from 1 species
GGCUGGUUAGCUCAGUCAGUUGAGCGUGGAGCUAACAACGCUACGGUCAUGGAUUCAAUUCCCAUUCAACCCC